rnacentral:lncRNA from 1 species
ACGCUUGACCGACCCAUAAUCAGUACUUUUGUUUUGAAGAGAGGUAGCCGUCGUAACGUCUAAGAAGUCAUCAUCCUCCUCAUCAUCUACGUUUUCACUGUCCAUAAACUCGCUUUCCUCUUUUUGCUUUGCACGAAGUGUUGCGUAAUAAGCAUCUAAGGCGCUCUUUUCAGAAGUAAUAUCUGUUUUAGUGUCUUGAACCUCAUUAACAGUUUCAGUUCUAAAACUAUGAAGUGCGGCAUCUUUAGCUCCAGCACGAGUAAUGGAGCCAGAAAUUGUUGAUGUUGCAUGCCAUUCGGGAAGAAUGUUUUGAGCAGCUUUGACUUGCUUGUCGCAAUUCCUUUCACGCUUUUCAUCAGUCUCUUUAUCAGCAGAGAAAUCAACUGUAAUAGAUGGCGAAGAGGUGGAAAGACGGACGUCUGAAUUACUUUUUGACAAGUUUUGUUGCGACAAAUUUUGGGUGUCUAACGAAACAGGAACCGCAUGUUCUAAAGCAGAUUGGAAAUUGUUUUGUGGUACGACAAUUUCAUCCACCCUUUUCAAUGCAUCGAUUAUACCAUUAACUUGUCCCAUCAGUUUUCCUAGCCUUUUCUGACUAGACAUCAUUUCUGCACUCUCCUCAUCGUCUUUGAGUUCGGUUCCACAAACGUUACAAGCAAAAGUUCCCUCGUUGGUCACCAAAGACAAAACGUCAAGGCUAGAAAACUUUUUGUUGCAAAAUGGACAAACAUAGCCUUUAGAAUCGAAAUCCUGCUAAGUUAGUGAAAGUGACGAUAAUAAGAGAUUCGUAAAAGUAGUGGGUAAAACACUAAGCAAAAAGAAGGAAACAAUAUGGUAAACCUUUUAUGAAAAAAGGCCCAAUUAAAAAAGGAACUUACAUUUCGCAUUCGAUCUUCUACUGUUUUCACUAAUUGGUGCAUACGCCAUUUAAUGCUGUCAAUCGUAGAACAGAAAUCGAUAUAGAAAUAGGUUGUAUGAUAUUGCCUUUGUUGGCCUUCCUUCAUUUCCGUCCUACUUUGACUGAAAGGUUAGCAGCUGGUCAUGGAAUUGCCUUCACGUACAUUGCCAAUAAACGAUCCUCGCGCAAUUUUCCAGCAAUAAACCGACAUUCUUUUAUAGGGAUACCCAUUAACAGCGCUGUUUGCUCAUCUGUAAGUCUACCAAAGGUUAAAAUCGUUCUGAUCUUGUGAAGCACGUACGCUGAAUGUCGCAAAAUCGCAUCCAUAAAUAUUAUAUGUCUAGUUUCGUAAAACGCCCUCAUAAUCAUUUUUAUAAGUCUCUGUACUAUUUCUGGAGCAUUGGACAUAGUAGAUAAAUGAUACGAUAAAUCGAAGGAAGGUUUUUGCAGCGAAUAAUAAAGGGUGAUGGAGUAGUGGAGAAUGUACCACAAAAAGACACUGCUUAAGGCGUUAACUAAUGACUCUUUAAAUGCCUAUAGUCAUGAAGACUGUUAAUUUAGAAAACAUCUUUUAAAAUGACAUUCAAACAUAAUAGUCUUAAAAGUGGUCCAUUGCCUUAAAUUACUAUAAAUUUAUUCACAAUGUCCGUUGUUCAAUAAAUUCUUCGGUGAACUAGCUAAAACUUGAUACGUAUUAAAAUUCAUGCACAAUUAGGAUAGUAUCAUUGUUUAACAUAAAAUCAUUAAUGAGACGUUAUUU